CAGUAGCCGCGGUAAUACGAAGGGUGCAGGCGUUAAUCGGAAUUACUGGGCGUAAAGCGUGCGUAGGCGGUGAGUUAAGUCUGCUGUGAAAUCCCCGGGCUCAACCUGGGAAUGGCAGUGGAUACUGGCUCGCUAGAGUGUGUCAGAGGAUGGUGGAAUUCCCGGUGUAGCGGUGAAAUGCGUAGAGAUCGGGAGGAACAUCAGUGGCGAAGGCGGCCAUCUGGGACAACACUGACGCUGAGGCACGAAAGCGUGGGGAGCAAACAGGAUUAGAGACCCCGGUAGUCCCUGUCUCUUAUAC
rnacentral:rRNA from 1 species